rnacentral:snRNA from 1 species
ACUCUUGUUUCUCUUCAGACCGCAUAAGUCUUUCGCCUUUUACUAAAGAUUUCCAUGGAGAGGAACAGUACGAGACAACAACAAUUUAUGACACUCUGCGCUGGCGUGGGGU